rnacentral:rRNA from 1 species
CCCUUAGAUGUUCUGGGCCGCACGCGCGCUACACUGAUGCACUCAACGAGUUUCUUCCUGGUCCGAGAGGAAUGGGUAACCUUUUGAAAGUGCAUCGUGAUAGGGAUAGACUAUUGCAAUUAUUGGUCUUCAACGAGGAAUUCCUAGUAGACGUAGUUCAUCAGACUGCAUCGAUUACGUCCCUGCCCUUUGUACACACCGCCCGUCGCUCCUACCGAUUGAAUGCUCAGGUGGGCCAUCCGGACUUUCAUCAUGCUGGUUUCCAAUUUUGAUGAAGGAAAGUCUUGCGAACCUUAUCAUUUAGAGGAAGGAGAAGUCGUAACA